rnacentral:misc_RNA from 1 species
GAUCUCAAGUGUGCCAUUAAAAGAGAGGCCAAGAGACUGUUCACCGCUCUCAAAUAUUCGCCUGAAAGAGUCCUUAAAAACGGAGUGUCCAAAACUUUCUGCCAAAACAACAAGGCCACCUGUCCUUUCAACAACCAGUUUCAUUUCUGCAACCCCAACCUGGUCAAGGGCAGAAGCAAAGAGAUCCAAGACAUGUCCCUGGCUCACCAGCUGUUUUGCAAGAUUAUCAUAAAAUUUAGUUGCCUUGUGAAAAUGUGGUGCUGCAUCUUUAUCUAGAUCUUUGUGAGAGCGCACUGGCUCGGAGAGAUCUUUCGACACAAUCAUUCCAGGGCCCUCUGUACACGGCCCGCCAACCAAGGCAAUGAUGCGGGCCCCCGUCCCUGGCAAGCACGCCCCCAGCAAGCCUGACGCAACACUUAGAG